AUUGAACGCUGGCGGCAGGCCUAACACAUGCAAGUCGAACGGUAACAGGAAGACGCUUGCUUCUUUGCUGACGAGUGGCGGACGGGUGAGUAAUGUCUGGGAAACUGCCUGAUGGAGGGGGAUAACUACUGGAAACGGUAGCUAAUACCGCAUAACGUCGCAAGACCAAGAGGGGGACCUUCGGGCCUCUUGCCAUCGGAUGUGCCCAGAUGGGAUUAGCUAGUAGGUGGGGUAACGGCUCACCUAGGCGACGAUCCCUAGCUGGUCUGAGAGGAUGACCAGCCACACUGGAACUGAGACACGGUCCAGACUCCUACGGGAGGCAGCAGUGGGGAAUAUUGCACAAUGGGCGCAAGCCUGAUGCAGCCAUGCCGCGUGUAUGAAGAAGGCCUUCGGGUUGUAAAGUACUUUCAGCGGGGAGGAAGGGAGUAAAGUUAAUACCUUUGCUCAUUGACGUUACCCGCAGAAGAAGCACCGGCUAACUCCGUG
rnacentral:rRNA from 1 species